rnacentral:misc_RNA from 1 species
CCCUGUGAUCCAAUUAUCUCUCAGACCAAGUUUAGCUAGUUAGCAAACCUCACAAACCAAAAGUCAAAGAAUACGAAAGCCACCGCAAAAUGUAGAUGAUAGCUGGUGAAGGUGACAUUAUGGGUAACACUUAAGAAGAGUCUUUCAGUGAAAAAUAGUCAUGUGGUCCAUCACUUUGACUUUUGACUUUUGUCGUUAAUCUUUAUUAACCCAAAAGUCGUUAGUCUCCCAUUUCACUUUACUAUCUGCAUCAACAAAGCCACCAGCAGAUAACAUUCAUAUUCAUGGGAAGACAUACCAUACAUUCUGCGCCACACACAAAGUUCAAAUCAUC